rnacentral:rRNA from 1 species
GAUGAACGCUGGCGGCGUGCUUAACACAUGCAAGUCGAACGGAAGCAGAAUGAAACCUAGUGAUUUUUGCUUUAGUGGCGGACGGGUGAGUAACGCGUGGAUAACCUGCCUUACACUGGGGGAUAACACUUAGAAAUAGGUGCUAAUACCGCAUAAGCGCACAGGGCCGCAUGGUCUGGUGUGAAAAACUCCGGUGGUGUAAGAUGGAUCCGCGUCUGAUUAGCUAGUUGGUGAGGUAACGGCCCACCAAGGCGACGAUCAGUAGCCGGCCUGAGAGGGUGAACGGCCACAUUGGGACUGAGACACGGCCCAAACUCCUACGGGAGGCAGCAGUGGGGAAUAUUGCACAAUGGGCGAAAGCCUGAUGCAGCGACGCCGCGUGAGUGAAGAAGUAUUUCGGUAUGUAAAGCUCUAUCAGCAAGGAAGAAAAUGACGGUACUUGACUAAGAAGCCCCGGCUAACUACGUGCCAGCCGCCGCCGUAAAAC